rnacentral:misc_RNA from 1 species
AACGCACAUUGCGCCCUCUGGUAUUCCGGGGGGCAUGCCUGUUCGAGCGUCAUUGCAACCCCUCAAGCGCAGCUUGUGUGUUGGGCCAUCGUCCCCCGUGGACGGGCCUGAAAUGCAGUGGCAGCACCGAGAUACCGGUGUCUGAGUGUAUGGGCAUUGAUCAUCACUCGAUAGACCCGAUCGGCGCUGGACGUCAAACCCCGAUCCCUCGUGGAUCAUCCAGUUUUGACCUCGGAUCAGGUAGGAAUACCCGCUGAACUUAA